rnacentral:lncRNA from 1 species
GGUGAUCAUUUAUUUUGGGUUUUAAUUUAGAUUGUUCUGUCCCUCUUAAAACAAAAUGGGUGGAGAACUUGAAGCAACUGAUGGUAUGAUUCCAAUGGAUGUCGUUGUCCGAAUCCUUAACAAUCAACUAAGUUCAUUAAUGUGGAUUGAUGAAAAGGAUACCGGAUCAGGAUAUUGGUAACAUCCUGAUGCAGUAUCCUGGUGAUGACUAAUUGUUCACAUGCAGAUUAGCAAGGAAUGUUUAUAACGGUCAAGAAGACUGCUUCUCCUGAAGACUCGGACUUGAUGGUUGAGAAGAGAACGUUGAAGCCGCAAAGAAGGGGUCUCCAACAUUCUAAAGGGAAUAUUCGGAGCAUCCCCCAUUCUUGGGAUAGUUUGUUAUUUCCUUUUGCUAUAUAAAGGAAUGUACGGAUCAUAGGAACACAACUUUUUACGCAAACUUUUGCUUUCUACUAGCUGCAAUCACUCUCAAUCACUAACACUUGUACUCGAAUCUCAUUAUAACACUUAGUUGAUAUGCAUCAUAUCCUGCACUGUAUCCUGAAGUUUGAAGUAUUAAGAAGAACAAGGCAGCUGCGAUUGUCAGCUCCCGAGGUUUUGUACCG